AGCCAUAUCACAUUGAAACACCAGUUCCCAUACAAUCACUGAAGUUAAGCAACAUGAAGCCUGGUUAGUAUCUAGAUGGGUGACUGCUUUGGAAUACCAGG